UAGGUUCAUAGCAUUUGGUAGAGAAGAGAAGGGAGAGGGAAGAGAUAGAGGCAGCCUCGUGUAAAAAAGGAGAUUCAAAAGGGGGAGAGAGCAAUCAAGCCAGUAAUCACACUCUGAAGUAAAAAUGGGUGCUGAAGAUUGGGUUCUAAAGGUACAAAAUGGAUAACAAAUACCAAGGUGCAAAGAUUAAAAAUCUAGAAUAGAGGUUCAGUUCAGUUCAGUUCUCUCACUCAGUCAUGUC